AACGAACGCUGGCGGCAGGCUUAACACAUGCAAGUCGAACGCAUCCUUCGGGGUGAGUGGCAGACGGGUGAGUAACGCGUGGGAACGUGCCCUUCAGUUCGGGAUAACCCAGGGAAACUUGGGCUAAUACCGGAUACGUGCGAGAGCAGAAAGAUUUAUCGCUGAAGGAUCGGCCCGCGUCUGAUUAGCUAGUUGGUGGGGUAAUGGCCCACCAAGGCGUCGAUCAGUAGCUGGUCUGAGAGGAUGAUCAGCCACAUUGGGACUGAGACACGGCCCAAACUCCUACGGGAGGCAGCAGUGGGGAAUAUUGGACAAUGGGCGCAAGCCUGAUCCAGCCAUGCCACGUGAGUGAUGAAGGCCUUAGGGUUGUAAAGCUCUUUCGUCCGGGACGAUAAUGACGGUACCGGAAGGAGAAGCCCCGGCUAACUUCGUGCCAGCAGCCGCAGUAA
rnacentral:rRNA from 1 species